AUUGAACGCUGGCGGCAUGCCUUACACAUGCAAGUCGAACGGUAACGCGGGGCAACCUGGCGACGAGUGGCGAACGGGUGAGUAAUGCAUCGGAACGUGCCCAGUAGUGGGGGAUAGCCCGGCGAAAGCCGGAUUAAUACCGCAUACGACCUACGGGUGAAAGCGGGGGACCGCAAGGCCUCGCGCUAUUGGAGCGGCCGAUGUCAGAUUAGGUUGUUGGUGGGGUAAAGGCCUACCAAGCCGACGAUCUGUAGCUGGUCUGAGAGGACGACCAGCCACACUGGGACUGAGACACGGCCCAGACUCCUACGGGAGGCAGCAGUGGGGAAUUUUGGACAAUGGGGGCAACCCUGAUCCAGCCAUGCCGCGUGCGGGAAGAAGGCCUUCGGGUUGUAAACCGCUUUUGUCAGGGAAGAAACGCGCUGAGCUAAUACCUCGGCGUAAUGACGGUACCUGAAGAAUAAGCACCGGCUAACUACGUGCCAGCCGCCGCGGUAAAAC
rnacentral:rRNA from 1 species